rnacentral:rRNA from 1 species
AGGGUGGACGUUGUCGGAUCCUGGGUGUAAGGGAGCGCAGGCGGUUUAGCAAGUCAUUGGUGAAAUUCUCAGGCUCAACCUGAGGGCUGCCAAUGAUACUGCUGAUCUUGAGUGUGGAAGAGGUAGAUGGAAUUCCUGGUGUAGCGGUGAAAUGCGUAGAUAUCAGGAAGAACACCGAUGGCGAAGGCAGUCUACUGGUCCAUUACUGACACUGAGAAGCGAAAGCAUGGGGAGCGAACAGGAUUAGAUACCCUGGUAGUCCAUGCCGUAAACGUUGGGAACUAGGUGUGGGUCUCAUUCCACGAGAUCCGUGCCGCAGCUAACGCAUUAAGUUCCCCGCCUGGGGAGUACGGCCGCAAGGCUAAAACUCAAAGGAAUUGACGGGGGCCCGCACAAGCAGCGGAGCAUGUGGCUUAAUUCGACGCAACGCGAAGAACCUUACCAAGGCUUGACAUACACCGGAAACGUCUGGAGACAGGCGCCCCCUUGUGGUCGGUGUACAGGUGGUGCAUGGCUGUCGUCAGCUCGUGUCGUGAGAUGUUGGGUUAAGUCCCGCAACGAGCGCAACCCUUGUCCUGUGUUGCCAGCAUGCCCUUCGGGGUGAUGGGGACUCACAGGAGACCGCCGGGGUCAACUCGGAGGAAGGUGGGGACGACGUCAAGUCAUCAUGCCCCUUAUGUCUUGGGCUGCACACGUGCUACAAUGGCCGGUACAAAGAGCUGCGAAACCGUGAGGUGGAGCGAAUCUCAAAAAGCCGGUCUCAGUUCGGAUUGGGGUCUGCAACUCGACCCCAUGAAGUCGGAGUCGCUAGUAAUCGCAGAUCAGCAACGCUGCGGUGAAUACGUUCCCGGGCCUUGUACACACCGCCCGUCAAGUCACGAAAGUUGGUAACACCCGAAGCCGGUGGCCUAACCCUUGUGGGGGGAGCCGUCGAAGGUGGGACCGGCGAUUGGGACUAAGUCGUAACAAGGUAACCC